GUGCUUACCUGACAGGGGAAACAUCAUGAUCACAAAGGUAGCUAUUCCAGGGUGAGGCUCAUCCAUUGCACUCCUGGUGUGCUGACCCGUGAUUUCCCGAAAUGCGGGAAACUCAACUGCAUCAUUUGUGGUAGUGGGGGACUACGUUCGUGCAAUG